rnacentral:rRNA from 1 species
ACUAGUGAUUAGAGUUUGAUCCUGGCUCAGGAUGAACGCUAGCGGCAGGCUUAACACAUGCAAGUCGAACGGUAACAGAAAAAGCUUGCUUUUUGCUGACGAGUGGCGAACGGGUGCGUAACGCGUAUGCAACCUACCUUUUUCAGAGGAAUAGCCCAGAGAAAUUUGGAUUAAUACCUCAUAAUAAUAUUUUUUCGCAUGUUAAAAUAUUUAAAGCUUCGGCGGUAAAAGAUGGGCAUGCGUAACAUUAGUUUGUUGGUGAGGUAAUGGCUCACCAAGACUACGAUGUUUAGGGGGUCUGAGAGGAUGAUCCCCCACACUGGUACUGAGACACGGACCAGACUCCUACGGGAGGCAGCAGUGAGGAAUAUUGGUCAAUGGACGAAAGUCUGAACCAGCCAUGCCGCGUGAAGGAUGACUGCCCUAUGGGUUGUAAACUUCUUUUGUAUAGGAAGAAACCCCUCUACGUGUAGAGGGCUGACGGUACUAUUCGAAUAAGCACCGGCUAACUCCGUGCCAGCAGCCGCGGUAAUACGGAGGGUGCGAGCGUUAUCCGGAAUUAUUGGGUUUAAAGGGUGCGUAGGCGGAAAUUUAAGUCAGUGGUGAAAGCCUACAGCUUAACUGUAGAAUUGCCAUUGAAACUGAAUUUCUUGAAUCUAAUUGAAGUAGGCGGAAUAUGACAUGUAGCGGUGAAAUGCUUAGAUAUGUCAUAGAACACCGAUAGCGAAGGCAGCUUACUAAGUUAGUAUUGACGCUAAUGCACGAAAGCGUGGGGAGCGAACAGGAUUAGAUACCCUGGUAGUCCACGCCGUAAACGAUGAUUACUCGCUAUUGGCGAUAUACUGUCAGUGGCUAAGCGAAAGUGAUAAGUAAUCCACCUGGGGAGUACGAUCGCAAGGUUGAAACUCAAAGGAAUUGACGGGGGCCCGCACAAGCGGUGGAGCAUGUGGUUUAAUUCGAUGAUACGCGAGGAACCUUACCAGGUCUUAAAUGCAUAACGAACAGUUGGGAAACCAACCUUUCUUCGGACGGAAUGCAAGGUGCUGCAUGGUUGUCGUCAGCUCGUGCCGUGAGGUGUCAGGUUAAGUCCUAUAACGAGCGCAACCCCUAUUCUUAGUUGCCAGCGGUUCGGCCGGGGACUCUAAGAAAACUGCCAGUGCAAGCUGUGAGGAAGGUGGGGAUGACGUCAAAUCAUCACGGCCCUUACGACCUGGGCCACACACGUGCUACAAUGGUAGGUACAAAGGGCAGCCACUUGGCGACAAGGAGCUAAUCUCUAAAACCUAUCUCAGUUCGGAUUGGAGUCUGAAACUCGACUCUAUGAAGCUGGAAUCGCUAGUAAUCGCGCAUCAGCCAUGGCGCGGUGAAUACGUUCCCGGGCCUUGUACACACCGCCCGUCAAGCCAUGGAAGCUGGGAGUACCUGAAGUCGGUAACCAUAUAGGAGCUGCCUAGGGUAAAACUAGUAACUGGGGCUAAGUCGUAACAAGGU